CACAUGAGGGCCAAGCGACAAAUGGCUCAAAGCCUUGGUCAGAUACUCAGAUUGCUAAGUUCAAACGUCGAUAUGAGCAAGAAGAAGAGGAAAGCAAAGACAGAUCAGAUCCCCUUUUAUUCCACCUCAGAAUCUUGAGCAAAGUAUGAUACUUGUUCCGCCUGAAAGCCCCAAGACAAGUCUAUGGAUUUGUUUUGCAUUCCGGGGACAAAGAAAUAAGGAAUCCGAGUAACAGUCAUGUAAACUAUGAUUCAGAAUUUACAG
rnacentral:lncRNA from 7 species